UGGCGUGCAAAGGAGCAGGUUUAAGAGAAAAAAAAAACCCACAAAAAACCCACAACAAGAGAAGUAUUUUGCUUCUCUUUGAGAUGAGAAACCAUCUGUGGGUGCCCAUUUCCUGCAGGGCUCAUCCAACUUUAGCAAAACACCUGCACCCGCCAGGGAAGGUGGCCCUGGCAGGCAGCAGAUGCUCCACAGCUGAAGCCUUUCAAAGGAGACACCUUUAGAGCUCCUGCCCUUAUGGGAUAACUGAAUCAUCCAUAAAUAGUCUUUAAAGGCAGCAUUGUCUGCCUGAAAAAAACCCCCAAAAAAACCUAAAGGAAAAUGAAGUAGGGGUUUUGUGUGUGGGUAAAGUAAAUACGGUUGGAAAUACAUGACUUGUUAAAAGCUUUUUGAGGACCCCACACUCACGAAAUCUUUUAGGUCAUGUGUUUGCUUUCUGAAACAUUUGGUUAAACUUGGAAUUGAGUUUAGAGCCUGCAGGUCUAAGGAGAGGUACAAGACUUUCCUAGGACUGCAUGCAGCGCAGUGCAAGAUACAGAUUUCCCCAUCUCUACAAGGCCUUUUUAUUUGGUCUAGAUACACAUCUUCAAUCCUUGUUUUGAGGAUCAAAUCUGUAUUUCCUGCGUGCUUGAGGAAAGUCUGUCAGCGUGAUGAGGCAUCAGCAUCACUCAGCAGGACCUGUUGAGGAGCCAGUGAUGGCUUGGCCCAUCACAGCACUGAUUUAUCCUUUUUUGAUCUAAUCCUAACUGAAUUAAAACCUUGUCAUUGCCACCUGUGAGAGGACAGAACCCCAGUUGUUCUGAGACUACAAGAAUUUCCAUCAUUUCACUUGGAAAAAUUUCUGAUAGCUGGGCAAAACUGUCUUAGAAAAAGAUGAAGAAACUCAGAGAACAAACAGAAAUAUUGGAUGGUGGAUGAGACGAACCUAAAUUUUACAAUCUGUAAUCUGGAUACAGAUUCCCCUCCAGACGUUCACCAACAGCAAGGAUCAACAAGAAGGUAAGGUAAAGGUUCAGCUUUUAGAAGUCAGGCUAAUAAUAUUCUUUCCUCAAUGCAAAGCUGAGCCUGUUUCACUUUCAGGCUAACUUUCAGCAUCUCUGAUUUCUAUGUGGUGCCUUGCUUCCAGUAUAAAUAAAUGAUCCCACAUUCCGUCAUGAUAACAUAUGCUCAUGCAGAGCUCAAAAUUAGAAGGAAUAUGAAGUGUUCUAUUAAUUGCAUGAAUGUUGAUUGUUAAAAUCAUGUGCUAAUUGGUAAUAUCUGUGUGCAGUAGGUUCCCGCAAUAUGUGUUAGAUUACAUUAACUGUGCUCGUGACUCAGAUAUCAGCAUUAUGCCUUUCGUAGAAGGAGCUUUUUUAGACUUUGUGUAAUUAGGUUCUAUAGAUUAUCAGUGUAGAAAAAUUAGUUGAAGGCUGUGUAAAGGGCAUGUGAAGUUAGAGGAAUGAGGAAUACAGAGCUCCAAAGAUGCAUCUGCUCCUCUUUCUCAUGGUGUGUGCUUCCUCACAUCCUCUCCAGAGUAAUUCUCACCGUGUUUGUCUUGAGCUAAUUCCCAGGGAAUCCAGCACCUCACUGCCAUGGUGAUUACAUCUGGAAGUUGCCAUAUUUUUUUGAGUGGGCUUUCUCCAUUUUCAGUCUUUUCUUUUGCCUUCCCCAGGCUUUGAUCCAAGAACCAUUCAGCUGAAGCAUCCUGACAGAGGAAGCAUCCACUCCUUGGCACUGCAGUGGGUCUCCCUUCCCUGGUGCUCAGCCCAGGCAGGAUCCUCAGGAGCUGCUCUGGCUCCAAGCAGAACCUUUGUUGUGAGGAGGAAACCUUGCAAAGCUGAAAUGAAAUAUUAAGCCUCAUUCUUUCCAGGUUUCCAAGCAGAGUGACUCAUGAGAGCAACACUCCAAUUCCUAUUUCAUGAGCUGACUCCGUAGAAGUGAACAGAGCUGCUGGGAGCACAGGACCUGCUGCAAACAUCUUCCUACUUAUUAUUAACCAGCAACUUUAACUUUGUAGUGCUUCAGAUUUAUUCAUAUUUUCAGGCUUUCUGCUAUGCUUCUGGUUGUGAUAAAUUUUACUGACAGUAAGCAGGAAUUUAUUAUCCUUUGCUGAUGGCUGGGCAAAGCAUUCAGCAGGGAUAAGGCUGAGACGUGGAAAUAAGACUGGGCAAGGACUUCUGAUCUAGAGGUGCCUCUAUUUGCUUGUCUCCAUGUAAUCACUUUGGAAAGCCUGGAUAGUUCUAUCUUGGGAGAAGUGAGGUUUCCUGACUCCAUUCCUGCAGUGAGGAGGCACCACAACCUCAGUUCUCUGUUGAUUGAAGACUUUCCCCUACUUUGCAUUGCAAAUAUAUGUAUGACUAAUUCAAACCCACUGGUUUUUUCCUACUUUUUUUGUCUCUUCCCUUUGGCUGAAACAAUGUUUGCUUCUCCCAGGCCUUGAGACCAAUAAGUUCACUAGCACUGGACAGGUUUUCUUGGAGCUUCAGCUAAACUGAAGUUGUUGUGUUGGGUGGAAUGAAAUUUGAGAUCUCCAUAAAGUUUUUCCUAAUUUUCCAUGUAUCUCUGUUUUUUUCUACUUUUGCAUAGACUUAGCAGAUGUAUUUGAAUUCUGGAUUUAGCACCUGGCUAAAUCCUACUAACCUGCAGAAAGUUUUGCCCUGGUUUAUUCAACAAAAAAGGCCAAACCCCCCAAGCACAGCUAGAAACCACUAGAAAAACAUAAAAAGGUCUGAUUUAUGCUGGAUAUCAGAGGAAAUCAUCUUAUCCCCUCUGAUAUGCAAUCUAUGAAUGUAGAAAAUUUUGGCUGACUCAUGAGAGUCCCAGAAUGGCACUAGAUGUUGACAGAUAUAUUAAGAAGAGCUAAGCAAUUUUUGGUACCAAGGCAGAGGCAGGGGAGAUGUGUUCAUUUGUGGUUGGUGGAAUUACUGAAAGCGCUGCAAUAAAGUUUGGUAAACUUUUUACCUUCCCUAAUCACAGGUUUACCUGGGUCACAAGCAUUAGUCAUGGAUAUUCAUUGCAAACUGCUAGCUCAUAAAAGACAGCAUAUGGCAGCCCGAAUUUCUUGCUAUAUAAAGUCAAAUUCACAGUAAUAACAUCUGUGCAGAAUUUAGAGCCCCACCAAUUAAAGUGAGGUCAACGUGCUGAGGCAGAGAUUGAUGGCAUUCUGCAAAUCUUAAACGACAAGUUAAAUAGGUAUAAAAUAAACAAACAACUUUAUUUCUUAUUAAAGAGCAGACAAGCGGGGUGAGAAUGCUGAGUGCUCAGUAAUGAGGGCCAAGAGGAGCAGGGCAAUGCUGUGGGCUGUGGCUGGGUUGUAACUCAGCAGCAAGGGGUGCACAUGGAGCAGGAUCUUGAUGCCUUUUUCUUGCUGGUAUAACACAUCAAAAACAAAUCAAAACUGCUGGGCAGGACCCUGAAACCCCAACCUGGGAGACUCAAGAUACUCAAGUAUUGAAGGAAGGGGAAGGCACAGGAGGAGUGGCUGAGGUCACUUGGCCUGUUCAGCUGGGGGAGACUCAUCCUGGUCUACAACUUCUUCAAGAGAAGAGGAGAGGCAGGAACACCUCCAUCAUUUAGGUUCUAGCUUGUUUGCUUUUCUUAAAUGCUUGAUGUAACUUUUCCAAAGUGAUUUCUGCCUGAAGUUUUCAGUGUGUGAUGCAGUGUUUGCAGGAAGAAAGAGUUAAACUGAAAGUGGUGACUAAAAUCACUGACCCCACCAUGGAGCUCUUCCUUUGAGUCAGUUUGUCUGUCAUGUUGCACUUGAAAUUUAGGAAGUCUUUGUCAAUAAAAAAAAAAGUACUAGAGAAAACUUCCUGUUUAAAAAGGUGGAAUUUAGCAGGUACUCAUCACAAAUCUGCACAUAAAACUUAAAGGUUUUAAUCCAACAUGAAUUGGAAAAGAUGGAGCUAUGCCUUUACCUGGAGCCUGGGUAGCUUCUGUCCUUUCAGUGCAAUGUGACCUUCAGGUCAUUAUCCAAAGAGAAUCAGCUCAGACUUUCCCAAUUCCCAGCCAGGAUUUUUGCUCAGGGUUUUCCACACGAACAUCUGAAGCAACAUUUCCAACUCUGUGGCAGGGUAAAGGGAAUGGGAAGGAAGGGGAAUAUAUGUUUUGCUCAGUUGUGAAGCUGGAGACAAGGAAACUUGUGCUUGUUUGGGUUUUUUUCCCAUGCAGUGAGAAAAACAUGCAAAUGAAGUGUGAAAGAGAAAUUAUUCUGAAAGCAGGCAGGAACAGCAUCACUGAAAGAACAGGGCAUCAAGAGAAUCCCAAAUCCAGGGCACAACUGAGAGAAAGCACAGAAAACUGGGACUAACACCACCACCACGUUGAUGGGCAAAGGUGAUAUUUCAAAGGGAAUAAUUGAUGACAAAUAGACGUUUCUGGUUUAAUUCUAUGGAGAUAAUUUAGAAUAGGAUGGCUGAAGAAAGCCAUUAUAUAAUUUAAAAAAAACCUGCUAUGUCACCAUUUCUCAAAGGCCAAAUCCUGCUCUUGUGUGUGUCCAGUCAGGACAACCUGAAUCAUGCACAUGAUUUAGUCACAGAGUUUUCUGUUUCCAAAGCAGGAAAAAGGCUGAAAUACCUUGUUGGAAGGAGAAGCUGGGCAAGGGAAAUAUGUUCUGCUGACCAAAAAAUGAAACCAUGUGUGAACAAUGGAAAUGCUGUACCGGUUAUCUUUAAAUCAAGAACAGCAGUAUGGGAAGAUGUCAUGCUCUGAGCUGAACGCCAAAACCGGAUCCAGAAGGGCUGGGAAGAGGAGGAGGAACCCUCCAAACCUGGAAUUGCGAGUUUCCCAGGGAGGAGGAGAGCAGGAACACCUCAUCCCAUCCUCCCAUCACUCCCAGCCUCUCUCGCCAGGGUCUGCCCGGCCUCUCCUCGCAGCUCCAGAGGUCUGGAUAUUACCAUCCAUCACAGCAGCUCGGCUUCCAGCGCUUGCUAAACGCCUGAAUUUCCCGCUGGCUCGAUGAACAGCGUUCAGCUUGUGGUACAUUACCCAGGCACCGGGUGAAUGGGGCUGAGCGCUCCUGUUUGGCUGCGAGCGCCGCGUUCACCUGAGCUCGCUGGCAGGAUGAAUAGCUCACCGCCGUUCUGCUGCUAACCCCCUUUGUCAACCAGCACUGAGCCAUGGACCUUAUUACAAAGGCCGACAGCUCCCUGGAAACUUAAAUCCACUCUUUUUCCCUUCUCUACCAUAGGGAGCUGUAAAAGAAAAGGACUUGGUUGGUAGGCAUGUAAUAUAACAAAAACCCCUCUGUUGUGGCAGGAUCCAGACUCCCCAGUAACAAUGGGGAUUAUGCUCUCACAUCGAAAAUGCAGUUGCUAGUUUUAACUGGAGUACCUUAUUACAGAUUCCUACAGAGCACAUUUAUGUCAGGGGCUUGGAUGUUUAACUUAAGUCAAGCCUGGUAGCAGAGAGAGCUCAGCAACCUCUGGUUUGGGUUGUGGUUUUGGUUUUUGGUUGUUUUUUUUUUUUUUAUAUGGAGGGGAAAGAUGCAGCUUGAUAUGCUGCUUUGGUGCUACCUUCCCCCAAACCACUUCUCAGAGAGCUUUAAAUAUCCUGACACUGGCACCGGGCAGGGGCUGGCAGAAGAAUGGAUUUUUUCAUCUGAUUGCUCGCCAAGGUUGUUUUCAAGAAGAAGUAGAAGAAGAAGGGGAAAGAAAAAACCCAAAAAAACCCCUUUUGCAUGCCAGUCAUUCAUUGCCUGCCAGUUCCCAUGGUUCUCCUACGGAUGGUAGCCACAGAACUAUUCAAAGUACAGUAAACACUGAGGAAAAGUGAAAAGAAACUCAUGAAGCAGAGAACAGAGAAGGAAAAGGAGUUGGGUAUGGGAUACAUGGUAGUAAGAGUCACUUAGGAAUUACUUUAGGGUGUACCAUGAAUGCUUCACUCAGUGCCAGCAGUAGCUGGACCAGCACAGUUUAGGGAGGACCUACCCCACUUCAGCAGGAUGGGGAAACCAGCUGAUGUCACAGCAGGUGGGGCAGUGGGGAGGCAGUGACUCUGCUCUGAGCUAUCACAGAUGGAAAAAAGGGUGUUCACAAUGUAAUUUAGCUGCACUUGGGAAGAGUAUAUACAGUCCUCUGCAUGUACUGCAGAUCCCAGGGGACUUGUGCCAUCACCCUCUUUUCUGCUCUUUCUUCCUCUGGAGUGGAGUAAGUGUUUGUUGUUUUUUAAUUUUGGUUUUCUUCUUAAUAUUAAUUUUUGUCUGUUUCAUAAAUCAGGGAAUGAAAAGAGGGGAGAUGAAGUGUGACAUCCCAUCCCUGGAAGUCUCCCCUGGCAUAGUGGCAGGUAUCCCUGCCUGUGACAGAGGGUUGGGAUGAGAAGAGCUUUAAGGUUCCUUCCAACCCAAAUCAGCCCAUGAUUCUAACUCUUGUUGUUUUCUUGAUAUGAAUUCAUUUUUCUUAUCUCCAGGGCAGGGGAGCUGUAGGUGGAGAUCUCCAUAACGAGACCACUCGUGCAAGGGACAUCUGCAUUGCCUUCAGUGUGUGUAUCAUAUUUAACCCCCUGGGACAAGAGAGGUGAUGUACCAGAGAAAAAGUAAUUAUCUCAUUCAGAGCAAAACUUUUACAGAGAGAGGGGGGGAGUUUAGCACUAUGGAUUUUUCUGAUACAGUUAAGCACAGGAAAGAUGCUGAGAUGGAUCAAAACUUUCCUUCCCUGUGAAUGGUACAAUGUGGUUCCCAUAUUGGUUUUCCUUUAAUACUUUCAUUAUCAAAAAUCUCUUUUCUUUGACAAGCCAUUUGAAACCCUACAGAUUUAUUUGUUGUUUACAUUAUGAAUUGCACAAAUCAAGCCAUACAGGAUUGGAUCAGAGGAUAGCUUUCCUCUGAUUAAAAGAUAGUGGGAAAUCCCACUGGCCUGGGGUAGUUCUGAGAUUCUUCUCUCUUGAGCUUCUUGUGCCUGAGGUUGGUACCUAAGACAGACACCUGGUCCCGUGACUUUUGAAAUCCCAGUUACUCUCCCUGGUGCCAUCUGAGGGUCUCCCCUGCACUCCUGUCUGGGACAGGUUCUCCCCUGCUUUUGUACUCUUGUGUGAAAUGGAAACUCAAGGGUUAUGCUAUCAAAUUAUGCAUUGUUUAGGGGGAAAAAAAACCAAACCAACACAAAAUCCACCAAAAAAUUCCAAAAUCAAUCAGUUCUCUGACUGAAGAGGAAGCUGCACUUGGAGAAGAGCAAUAAGAGCUUUUAGGUGUCUUGAAGUUUGACUCUUGUGAAGAUAAGAGGAACUCAAAGUCAUAGCAAAAUUUAUAUCUCUCUACAGCCACGGAAAGUCUUUGUACUUGAGCAGAGCAGCUUUACAAGCAACAGGUGAAAGGUAGCAAUGAGCAUCUGCCCAAAUCUGAGGACCAGCAGACUUUGAGGGUGCUGGUGUUCCUCAGGAAGGUGAGACCCUCAGGGCUGUGCAGCCACCGAGGGGGUGCUGGGGUGGCUCCUUGGGGUUUGCCCAGCACGGGCUCUGUGCUUGUGUAAAGAGCAGAAGGUCCCAGGGAGAUCCCGACUGUCUCAGCAGCUCCCCUCUCUCACACAGCUGCAGCACUGAUUCAUCUCUGUUCCCAGGCUCUCCUCCACACUGAGAGUGCAGCAGGCACCUGGUGUGCUAAAUAAUCCUCCAGCAGUAGGCUGGGAGAUGAUUAACUCUUCCAUCACCACGCCAGUGAGCUCUGCAGAGCACAUGGCUGGCAGUGGGGAAGGAUCCCACAGGAAAGCGGCGGAACACCUGUUUUUUAUUGAAGUGGUGUACUCGAGGAGCAUAACACUGCAGCCCUAAUGUGCAGGGCAGACUACUUCAGAGCAGUGCAAAAGGGGAAAAAAGGCAGCCUGAAGUGUGUGUGGGUCUUUUCAAAACACCUGCAAGUAAUAUUGGAGAGGACAGAUGCGAGAUGGAGAUGUGAAAGGGUGAAAGUGGCUUGAUCCCCACCUCAGCUGCAGGAAGGCAGGGAGCAGCAUCAGGGGAGUGUUUGAGGGAGGUCAGGUUGAGCAGCAGGAGGCUGAGAGCUCCCUUUGAAUCUCCAAAACCAGAGGUUGCUGUCAGCCUGGCUGCUCCUCAGUGCUGCACAGCAAAGGGUUGGGAUGGGGAUCCCAGGAAAUGAGGAACCCCAUUCACUGUGGCUGGACAUCAGGAAGCAUUUCUGCACUGAAAAGGUCAUUAGACACUGGAAGGGGCUGCCCAGGGAGCUGCUCCAGAAAUCUCAGUGCUCUGGAUUAGUUUCAGGGUAGUGUUUGGUCAAAGGUUGGACUCUAUGGCCUUAGAGGUCUUUCCCAACCUAAACCAUUCUGUGAUUCUUUGAUCCCUGCAAUUGUUUCCUCCAUCACAAGCUUUCCACUGGUUUAAGAAGCUCCUGCCUUUUUGUGCCCUCAUUUCAAGAAGGAUAUGGCUUUGUGCCACUAAAAGAGGUACACAAGGGAAAGGGGAGUUGACAAUGACUCUCUUUAGGAUCUUUCUCUGACUUUAUGCUCUAGGAAAUGAGGGACUGGGAGGAGCACACUCGAUGCCAGCACGUCUACCUGUGACCCCACACUUGUGCAGCAGGCUGUGCACUGGCCCUGUGGAGCUUCCUUCAUGCUCCUGAUGAUUUAUAGGGGAAUUGGCAGCAGGAAAUGCAGCUGAAAAAAAAAUCUGCUAUCCUACAAAAUAAAGAAAGUUCUGCAUAUGGCAAAGGGGAUGGGCCUGGGGUCUGCAAUGACACAUUAAAAAAAAAAAAAAAAAACAAAAA